rnacentral:rRNA from 1 species
UACAGAGGGAUAGCCCAGAGAAAUUUGGAUUAAUACCUCAUGGUAUUAUAGAGUGGCAUCACUUUAUAAUUAAAGUCACAACGGUAAAAGAUGGGCAUGCGUCCCAUUAGCUAGAUGGUAAGGUAACGGCUUACCAUGGCUACGAUGGGUAGGGGUCCUGAGAGGGAGAUCCCCCACACUGGUACUGAGACACGGACCAGACUCCUACGGGAGGCAGCAGUGAGGAAUAUUGGUCAAUGGACGCAAGUCUGAACCAGCCAUGCCGCGUGCAGGAUGACGGUCCUAUGGAUUGUAAACUGCUUUUGUACGAGAAGAAACACCCCUACGUGUAGGGACUUGACGGUAUCGUAAGAAUAAGGAUCGGCUAACUCCGUGCCAGCAGCCGCGGUAAUACGGAGGAUCCAAGCGUUAUCCGGAAUCAUUGGGUUUAAAGGGUCUGUAGGCGGUUUGGUAAGUCAGUGGUGAAAGCCCAUCGCUCAACGGUGGAACGGCCAUUGAUACUGCCAGACUUGAAUUAUUGGGAAGUAACUAGAAUAUGUAGUGUAGCGGUGAAAUGCUUAGAGAUUACAUGGAAUACCAAUUGCGAAGGCAGGUUACUACCAAUGGAUUGACGCUGAUGGACGAAAGCGUGGGGAGCGAACAGGAUUAGAUACCCUGGUAGUCCACGCCGUAAACGAUGGAUACUAGCUGUUGGUGGCAACAUCAGUGGCUAAGCGAAAGUGAUAAGUAUCCCACCUGGGGAGUACGGGCGCAAGCCUGAAACUCAAAGGAAUUGACGGGGGCCCGCACAAGCGGUAGAGCAUGUGGUUUAAUUCGAUGAUACGCGAGGAACCUUACCAAGGCUUAAAUGUAGUUUGACCGAUUUGGAAACAGAUCUUUCGCAAGACAGAUUACAAGGUGCUGCAUGGUUGUCGUCAGCUCGUGCCGUGAGGUGUCAGGUUAAGUCCUAUAACGAGCGCAACCCCUGUUGUUAGUUGCCAGCGAGUAGUGUCGGGAACUCUAACAAGACUGCCAGUGCAAACUGUGAGGAAGGUGGGGAUGACGUCAAAUCAUCACGGCCCUUACGCCUUGGGCUACACACGUGCUACAAUGGCCGGUACAGAGAGCAGCCACCCCGCGAGGGGGAGCGAAUCUAUAAAGCCGGUCACAGUUCGGAUCGGAGUCUGCAACUCGACUCCGUGAAGCUGGAAUCGC